GCCUCCUGGAGCUCCCUCAGGAUGGACAGCACCGCUUCGUUCCUCUGAAUCAUGACUGGCGGACAUCACAGAAGCAGGGAAAUGUACAAGCGGGAUUUCAGUCAUCAAGGCCCUUUUGUUCCACCACCCCCCAAACUCACUCACACGCGCACGCACACAGCAGGGGACAGCAGCAUUUGGCCCCCGCUUACCCGUCAGACAAGCUGGUGCCUGACUCGGACGGGCUUCGCGGCUUUGACCUUAUCAGCUGAUCGCGUGACACACCUAACGCGCACAGUGCACCGCAAAACUUCAACUUGGAGUGGAACAAACAGCUUGGAGCCUUGUUUUUUUUGGAAGAAUUUGUCAAGUGCUCGUUGUUGUGGGACAUACGACGGACGCUUUGCGGCCCCAGAAGGAAGUGCUCGUGUUUCUGUCUGUCCCACAUCUGUCACUAUGUCGUUGUGUAAAGCCUCAAUGAAGAGUGGCAAAAAUCAGAAGUCCCGUUUUCCAACUGCUCCUUGUUGCGAAGUGAGUUGAGCCAAAAGCCUGCACCGCCAGGCCUGGAUCCAAUCACCAGAGCCGCAUAACAACAGUGACCGAAAUAUACAGCACAGUCCGGAGCACCGGAGCAAGUGAGUGGGGAGAGGAAAGAAAAGCAGAUGCAGAAAGUGGUGAUGUCAUGAAAAACUAAAAUUGAAGCGGGUGGAAAAAAAAAAAAAGCGAGGAAAUUGAAGCGGAAUAUAAAAACAAAGGGAAUACCGUAUUUUCCGCACUAGAGUGCCCCGUUGUACGCUGUGGGUGCGCACACCUCAUGGGGAUUCAACCGAUUUCUGUUUAACCUCAUUUGAAUCCAUUCGGAACAGUGGUGUGAACUGUAACAAGUACUUGCAUUGAGUUAAUGAAAAGCCUUCAGUUCCAAUAUUCUUCUUGAAAUGACCCAGUUCUGACCAAACGGUUGCUAUUCCAGAAUCCGCGGCAAUUUCUUU